AACGAACGCUGGCGGCAUGCCUAACACAUGCAAGUCGAACGAGACCUUCGGGUCUAGUGGCGCACGGGUGCGUCACGCGUGGGAACCUGCCCUUAGGUUCGGAAUACCUCCCCGAAAGGGGUGCUAAUACCGGAUAAUGUCUUCGGACCAAUGAUUUAUCGCCUUUGGAUGGGCCCGCGUUGGAUUAGCUAGUUGGUAGGGUAAAAGCCUACCAAGGCGACGAUCCAUAGCUGGUCUGAGAGGAUGACCAGCCACACUGGGACUGAGACACGGCCCAGACUCCUACGGGAGGCAGCAGUGGGGAAUAUUGGACAAUGGGCGAAAGCAUGAUCCAGCAAUGCCGCGUGAGUGAUGAAGGCCUUAGGGUUGUAAAGCUCUUUUAACCGGGAUGAUAAUGACAGUACCGGGAGAAUAAGCUCCGGCUAACUACGUG
rnacentral:rRNA from 1 species